AGCUGUAGAGUUAAUGGCAUACAUCCCAGAAAAAGUAAUGGGUUAAGAAAUAUUUUUGAAGAUGCCUGUAAGGAAUUUCUGUUCCAUGCUUGUUUAACACAGAAGUCAACAUUAAUAUUAAUGUGAGAAAAUUUAAAAUGUUGAUGUGAGAGGCUGGCAUUGUGAAGAUGAGGUAGAAAUCAGAAAUUUUUAACAUGAGAGCGAGACAGCAAAACAAAGAAUGAAGUUCUUUGCUUUCUGGAGGCAAAAAGAGAGUUGACUAUAGAAAAGUGAACUUGUGAAACCUGGGAGUCAGUCCUGGAUCAACCAUUAUUUCUCACUGGUAUGCAAUAGCUGGUAA